rnacentral:lncRNA from 1 species
AUGUGGGGGCCCGCUGGCCGUCACUGGUGGUGGUGCUCCGGGGCGCCCCGGGGGCCCUCCAGCAGUCACAGGGGGCGGUCCUCCAGGGCGCCCGGGGGAGAGCUGGGGGUGACUGGGGGAGGUCCUCCGAGGCGCCCAGGGGUCACAGGAGGAGGUCCUCCGGGGUGCCCCUGGGCCCACCCGGGGCGGUCCUCUGAAGCGGACUGGGGCCCCCUGGGGGGGGUCCUCUGGGGCGGGUCCUCCGGGGCGCCCCUCCGGGGCGUGUCCUCCGGGGUGCAGGGGGGCCUGCAGGGGGGCACCGGGGGCAAUGCUCUGGGGCACCCGGGGACCCACCGGCAGUCACCGGGGGCGGUACUACGUUUCGACCGGGGGCCUGCCGCGCGUCACUGGGGUGGGUGCUCCAAGGCGCCCAGGGAUCACUGGGGUGGGUCCUUUGGGGCGCCCGCGAGCCCUCCAAGGGUCACUGGGGUGGGUCCUCCAGGGCACCCGGGAGCCCGCCAGGGGUCACCGGGGGGUGUUCUCCGGGCCACCUGGGGGCCCGCCGAGGGUCAUUGGGGGGGGUCCUCCGGGGUGCUGCGUGGCCGGCCGGAGGUCACCGGGGGGGUCCUACGGGGCGCCCCAAGGGCCCACCGGGGAUCACCAGGGGCGUCCUCUGGGGCGCCCGGGGACAAAACGGGGGUAAUGGGGGUGGUACUCCGGCGCUUCCGGGGGCCUGCAGGGGGUCACCUUGGGUGGUCCUCUGGGAUGCCCUGGGACCCGCUGGCGGUCACAAGGGGCGGUACUACGUUGCGCCGAGGCACCUGCUGCGGGUCACCGGGGGCGGUCCUCUGGUGCGCUCGGGGACCUGCUGGCGGUCACCAGGGGUGGAACUACGUUGCACCCAGGGGCCUGCCGGGCGUCAAACGGGGGUGUCCUCCGGGCCGCCUGGGGGCCCGCGGGGGGCUACCGGGGCGGGUUAUGCAGGUCGCCCGGGGGCCCGCUGGGUUUCACCAGGGGGGUACUUCGGGCUACCCGGGGGCCCGCCGGGGGUCACCAGGGGCAGUCCUUCAGGGGGGAACGGUGGGUGAUCCUCCAUGGCGCUGGUGGGCCCAUCGGGGUUCACUGGGGGCGGUCCGCCGGGGCGUCCGGGGACCCAAAGGGGGUCACUGGGGUGGGUCCUGCGGGGCACCUGGGGGCCUGCUGGGGGUCACAGGGGUGGGUCCUCUGGGGCAUCCGGGGGCUCGCCAGGGUUCACCGGGGUGGGUCCUCUGGGGCACACAGAGGCACUCUGGGGGUCUCCGGGUGUUUCCUGCUGGGCACCCAGGUACCCGCCGGGGGCCCCUGGGGUGGGUCCUGCGGGGCGCCCAGGGGCCGGCUGGGGGCCGCCGGGGUGGGUCCUGCGGGGCCCUCUGGGGUCACCGGGGUGGGUCUUCCGGGGUGCCCGGGGGCCCACCGGGGGUCACCAGGUUGGGUUGUCCGGGGCGCCCAGGGGCCUGUCGGGUGUCACCGGGGUGGGUCCUCCAGGGGGACCGGAGGACCCACCCCAGUGAUCCCCGGUGGGUGCUCCAGAGGACCUAUCCCAGUGACCCCCGGUGGGCCCCCGGGCGACCCGGAGGACUCACCCCGGUGCCCCUGGCGGAACCCCAGGGGCCCUGGAGGACCGACGCCCAGGGCCCCCGCCGGGCCCCCGGGUGCCCUGGAGGACCACCCCGGUGA